CUUGGGUGCAGGAGGGUGGAAGGGGAGGAGCCUGACCAGCAUUUGCAAGAUCCUGGCGCUCUAGUUCCUAAGGAUGGGCCACCAUGUUCAAUUCUCCCUUUAGGCUGUGGAGGUGGGUCCACUUCUAGGCUGGGAGUGGGGAGAGAGAAUGAAAUGAAAGAAACAGAGACUAGGAGACAGAGACAAAAGAAAUCAUACAAAGCCAGGGCAGGAAAAAGGAUAUGCUUGUUUUCCAGAGAAAUCAUUUCACCUUUACAGCCUUGGAAGGAUAAUGUCACCUUUUACAGAGCCUGGAUUUUGUCUGUUUUGCUUACUGCUGUAUCCCCAGAACCCAGAACAGUACCUGCCACAUAGUAGGAGC
rnacentral:lncRNA from 1 species